UGCCCGUUCGGGGAAUUCCGAGACAGGUGCUGCAUGGCUGUCGUCAGCUCGUGCCGUGAGGUGGUUGGGUUAAGUCCCGCAACGAGCGCAACCCUUAUUGCCAAUUGCUACCAGGUAAUGCUGGGCACUCUGGUGAGACUGCCCCGGUUAACGGGGAGGAAGGUGGGGACGACGUCAAGUCAUCAUGGCCCUUACGCCUAGGGCUACACACGUACUACAAUGGCGCAUACAAAGGGCAGCGAUACCGCGAGGUGGAGCCAAUCCCAAAAAGUGCGUCCCAGUCCGGAUUGCAGUCUGCAACUCGACUGCAUGAAGUUGGAAUCGCUAGUAAUUCGAGAUCAGCAUGCUCGGGUGAAUGCGUUCCCGGGCCUU
rnacentral:rRNA from 1 species